rnacentral:lncRNA from 1 species
GGCGAUUCUGAUUCUUCAGUUCACCCACAGAUCACCUUAUUGUAAUUGCUUGUCUGUCUUCCCUCCUAGGGAGCAAACCUCUGGACAGCAAGAAAGCAUAUUCCUAGAAUAUGAGAUACUUUGAGGUGAGAGGUGAGAAAAGGUCUGAUUGAUUCUGAAGCUCAUGCUGGUCUUGAACUCAGGCUGGGAUUAGGAGCAUCGGCCACCACACCGACUUUAAAAUAGCUUCAAGUUGUAAAAUGCGCCUGCAUAGCCUCGCAAGAGACGUACAGCUUGUUCCUUAAACUGAAUGUCUGUAAAACGUCUUCCCCAUGUAACAGUCAUACUAAGGGCUGCAUUGGUUUGCGUACAGAGAAGAUUCAGGAUGGAGCCUAAUGUGUCCUGAGCUUUCCAGUAAGCAGGAGAUCACUAUGACGUUCUGUCUCAAGGAGGAAAGAGUCAAUGGAAGGUCCGUGUGUUAAACAGAAUCACCAUGUGACCUGGCAACUUCACUCAAUGUAUGUACCUAAGAAAAAUGAAAAAUCAAUGUCCACACUGCAGUUGAGAGUAACCUAAAUGUCAUCGUCUAACAAAUGGACCAGACGUGGUAGAUCCUUGAACGGACUGUUUAGCCAUAAAGGAGCAACGUGUUGAUACAGAUUACAAAUCAGACGAACUCCGAAAACACACAAAGUGAAAAGAUGCCAGACACAAAAGGUAACACAAUGAACAUCCAGAAUAGGCCAUCUACAGAGGAACAAAAAGAGAUUGGUGAUUACCAAGGACAACCAGGAGGAGAGGGAAGAGGCUGCUCACAGGUAGCUCUUCUCUGGAGUCGGUGGUAAUUGCUGCUACUACACUGAUUUGUGCAUUAUCCAUUUUUGGUUUAUGUAUUCAGUGUAUGUGUAUGUAGAGGGCACAUGUGUGUAUAUGCCUGAGGCUAACCCUAUGUCUCCUCAACCACUCACCUCAUUCACUGAGCCAGAGUCUCUCAAUGGAGUCUGGAGCUCUGUUUUGACUAGUAGGGCUAGCCUGAUUAUUCCAGGGAAUCCUUGUCUCUGCCUCUCACAGGAAUUUUAGGCAAGCUGCCAUGUACAUCAGGAGAUGUAUAUAAAUUUUUUUUGAAUCCUAGGACUCUAGAUACCUGUCCCUGUACUUGCAUGGCAAACACUUUACCAAUAAAAC